AUGGCGUGGCGGGCGAGCCUAUCCCGGAACGUGAAGGAGAUCCGCUUCCUCUUCUGCCAGUCUUCCCCUGCCAGCGGCCCCGCCCGGGAGUUCGUGAAGAAGAACUACGGUGACAUCAAGACCCGCAACCCCACCCUCCCCGUCCUCAUCCGCGAGUGCUCCGGCGUCCAGCCUCAGCUCUGGGCGCGCUACGAUAUGGGCGUGGAGAGGUGCGUGCGCUUGGACGGCUUGACAGAAGCCCAGAUCGACAAGAAGUUGGAGGAGCUAGCCAAGGCAGGAGUUGCGUAA
rnacentral:rRNA from 1 species